GAAUGCCGGUGUGAGUAGCGAAAGACGGGUGAGAAUCCCGUCCACCGAUUGACUAAGGUUUCCAGAGGAAGGCUCGUCCGCUCUGGGUUAGUCGGGUCCUAAGCUGAGGCCGACAGGCGUAGGCGAUGGAUAACAGGUUGAUAUUCCUGUACCACCUAUAAUCGUUUUAAUCGAUGGGGGGACGCAGUAGGAUAGGCGAAGCGUGCGAUUGGAUUGCACGUCUAAGCAGUAAGGCUGAGUAUUAGGCAAAUCCGGUACUCGUUAAGGCUGAGCUGUGAUGGGGAGAAGACAUUGUGUCUUCGAGUCGUUGAUUUCACACUGCCGAGAAAAGCCUCUAGAUAGAAAAUAGGUGCCCGUACCGCAAACCGACACAGGUAGUCAAGAUGAGAAUUCUAAGGUGAGCGAGCGAACUCUCGUUAAGGAACUCGGCAAAAUGACCCCGUAACUUCGGGAGAAGGGGUGCUCUUUAGGGUUAACGCCCAGAAGAGCCGCAGUGAAUAGGCCCAAGCGACUGUUUAUCAAAAACACAGGUCUCUGCUAAACCGUAAGGUGAUGUAUAGGGGCUGACGCCUGCCCGGUGCUGGAAGGUUAAGAGGAGUGGUUAGCUUCUGCGAAGCUACGAAUCGAAGCCCCAGUAAACGGCGGCCGUAACUAUAACGGUCCUAAGGUAGCGAAAUUCCUUGUCGGGUAAGUUCCGACCCGCACGAAAGGCGUAACGAUUUGGGCACUGUCUCAACGAGAGACUCGGUGAAAUCAUAGUACCUGUGAAGAUGCAGGUUACCCGCGACAGGACGGAAAGACCCCGUGGAGCUUUACUGUAGCCUGAUAUUGAAAUUCGGCACAGCUUGUACAGGAUAGGUAGGAGCCUUUGAAACGUGAGCGCUAGCUUACGUGGAGGCGCUGGUGGGAUACUACCCUAGCUGUGUUGGCUUUCUAACCCGCACCACUUAUCGUGGUGGGAGACAGUGUCAGGCGGGCAGUUUGACUGGGGCGGUCGCCUCCUAAAAGGUAACGGAGGCGCUCAAAGGUUCCCUCAGAAUGGUUGGAAAUCAUUCAUAGAGUGUAAAGGCAUAAGGGAGCUUGACUGCGAGACCUACAAGUCGAGCAGGGUCGAAAGACGGACUUAGUGAUCCGGUGGUUCCGCAUGGAAGGGCCAUCGCUCAACGGAUAAAAGCUACCCCGGGGAUAACAGGCUUAUCUCCCCCAAGAGUUCACAUCGACGGGGAGGUUUGGCACCUCGAUGUCGGCUCAUCGCAUCCUGGGGCUGUAGUCGGUCCCAAGGGUUGGGCUGUUCGCCCAUUAAAGCGGUACGCGAGCUGGGUUCAGAACGUCGUGAGACAGUUCGGUCCCUAUCCGUCGUGGGCGUAGGAAAUUUGAGAGGAGCUGUCCUUAGUACGAGAGGACCGGGAUGGACAUACCUCUGGUGUACCAGUUGUCGUGCCAACGGCAUAGCUGGGUAGCUAUGUGUGGACGGGAUA
rnacentral:rRNA from 1 species